rnacentral:rRNA from 1 species
UAGUUGAACCUUGGGCCUGGCUGGCAGGUCCGCCUCACCGCGUGUACUUGACCGGCCGGGCCUUUCCUUCUGGAGAACCUCAUGCCCUUCACUGGGUGUGCUGGGGAACCAGGACUUUUACUUUGAAAAAAUUAGAGUGUUCAAAGCAGGCCUUUGCUCGAAUACGUUAGCAUGGAAUAAUAGAAUAGGACGUGCGGUCCUAUUUUGUUGGUUUCUAGGACCGCCGUAAUGAUUAAUAGGGACAGUCGGGGGCAUCAGUAUUCAAUUGUCAGAGGUGAAAUUCUUGGAUUUAUUGAAGACUAACUACUGCGAAAGCAUUUGCCAAGGAUGUUUUCAUUAAUCAGUGAACGAAAGUUAGGGGAUCGAAGACGAUCAGAUACCGUCGUAGUCUUAACCGUAAACUAUGCCGACUAGGGAUCGGGCGAUGUUCUCAUUUUGACUCCCU